UGUGAUACAGGGUUCUCACCGUUGUACAGGGGUCUCACCGUGAUACAGGGUUCUCCGAGUGUUACAGGGUUCUCACCGUGAUACAGGGUUCUCACUGUGAUACAGGGUUCUCACGUUGUUACAGGGUUCUCACCGUGUUACAGGGUUCUCGGAGUGUUGCAGGGUUCUCGGAGUGUUACAGGGUUCUCACCGUGUUGCAGGGUUCUCCGUGUUUAACAGGGUUCUGCGAGUGUGUGUGAGUGUUAUCUGUGUCAUUUUGUGCGGUGUUGAUGUAUAAUCUGAGAUCUUUUUGUUUGUUGUUGGUUUGUAGGAUUUUACGGAGAUUAAACGCAGGUGCAGACAAACUUUCCCCCAAAUCCCCUCAGCGCUGCUGCUUUAGUCGAGAUCACAGCGGCGCUGCGACGCUUCUGAUCUCCGCUCAGGCGUAAACACUCGUCACACUUCAGCACCGCCACCAAGCCUUACACCUGCUGAUCGCCAGCGCUGUGCGCAGCGGUCAUGAGCACGCCCAGCCUCUCCUUCAUCGAACUGUCAUCGCGAGUCCUCCGCAGGAGCGUUUGUUCCUGAUCCCGCGACUCUGUGUAAGUUCCCGUACACGGAGACUCACUAACGUGACCCUCGGCUGAUGGUGUAACUGUCCGUGAGUUUCCGUGGCGUUCUAUACGGGUCACGCCGUCACGUUUAAAUCGCUCCUUCAUUUCAAUCACACAACGAGUCAAUAAUCAUCUCAUCACCGUCAGUUAAUCACCUGACAUUCCAAACGCGAUUCCAAACAAAUCCAUCCAUUUACAAAUAACAAACAACCCUAGCCCUUCCACUAGGACAAAGUAUUGGCACCGUGUACAAGGAGGAGGAGUCAGUGUGUGUACAAAAUGCUGUGUGUUUGUCCCUCUAGGGAAGAACCCUUAAAAACCCCUGCGACAGAUGUUCCAAAGUUUCCAAGUUAUGGACUCUUAUAUAUUAAUGUUUUAUAUUAAUUUCAGUUAAUUUGCACUUAUUUUCAGUCGUUGAUGUAAGAAUUAUAAUUGUUAAUUAAGUGCUGCUGGACGUUUGUGACUUGGAGAACGCAUCGCUGCUGAGGUUUACAGUUUGUUAUUGAUAACGAAUAACUGCUGAUAAACUAGUUCAUAAAAACCGGACGAUUCAAAUUCGCUCGUUAUCAGUUUGAUAAAAUUGAUCAAAAUCGUUGAAUAAAAAUAGUCGACGAUGAAGUAGCAAAUUUAUCCGAAUCGAUUAGCUUAUGAACAUUUUUUCGAAUGAACUCUACGUUGUUUAAUUUUCUUAACACACGCAAAUAUAUACGUUUAAUACACUGUAGGUUCCGCGUCACGUCAUCAAAUCAUACUGCUUUCAGUUUACGUCAAAGGUCCUGGUAGUCGAUCACAAAAAGAGUCUAUUACCUGAUUCACUGAUUCACUGACUCACUGAUUCACUGAUUCUGAGAGUUAAUCCCAAAGUUUUGGAGCAAAAUGAAUUUAGCAUCCGAAAGUUUUUCAGGUAGAGGGACAGCCUGUGCAUAUUGAAUUUGCAUGAGCCAAUCAGAGCUUGAAAUGCAGUUAAGCCCCUCCCCAAGGGAUUCACAACAUUUGUUUACAUUCAGCCAAAAAAAACAUGAGGCUGUUUUGAUCUGUGUUAGUUUUGGGAUUAUAAUCACCGUAUUUUAUUGUUCGUUGGGUAAUUAAUGGUUCUUAUCUCCCAAAAAGGGUUCUACUUAGAACCGUCACUGACAGGGAAGCACUCCGUUGUAGAACUUUUAAACUUUCCACCAGAGGAACUAACGAAGAACCCGUAACGCCGUGAAAUUUUCCGCAUUAUAUCCACAGCAGAUCAAACAAGGUUAGCACAAAGUCAGAAUGGUUUAUAAAGUUCUCCAGCGCUUCCAUGUGGGCAUGAAACCCAUCAACACGCUCUGCAUGAGGGUAUACGGGCCAUUAAUCAACAAGCACUCCAGGACUGUCAGCUCAUUUCACCCCACCACCAUCAGAUAAGGAGCGGAGAACGGCCCGUGGAGUACAACGGUGAACCAUUAAUAAGAGGAAGGAACAAAAUGUCGCUUAAACAAGCGCUGAAACCUUCUCCCGUUCUCUGCAGGUCCGAUUUACACUCGCGAAAACGCUGAAGCCUUAAGAGUUCUUCAGCUGUUCCUCAAAGGGAAACCAUAAUGAUUCGGUCUAGAACCCUAGCAAGAACCCUUUUAUAGAAGCUAAGAACCAUUAAAGUCCACCUGAAGAACUAUUUUCAUCAUAACACCUAGAACCGGUCAGGAGUUUUUGAGCACAUGGUUC
ensembl:lncRNA